rnacentral:rRNA from 1 species
AAUAUUGCACAAUGGGCGAAAGCCUGAUGCAGCAACGCCGCGUGAGUGAUGAAGGCCNNNGGGUCNUCAAGCUCUUUGAUCAGNGACNAUAACGACAGUACCUGAAAAACAAGCCACUGCUAACUACGUUCCAGCAGCCGCGGUAACACGUAGGUGGCGAGCGUUGUCCGGAAUUACUGGGCGUAAAGGAUGCGUAGGUGGAUACUUAAGUGGGAUGUGAAAUCCCCGGGCUCAACCCGGGAACUGCAUUCCAAACUGGGUAUCUAGAGUGCAGGAGAGGAAAGCGGAAUUCCUAGUGUAGCGGUGAAAUGCGUAGAUAUUAGGAGGAACACCAGUGGCGAAGGCGGCUUUCUGGACUGUAACUGACACUGAGGCAUGAAAGCGUGGGUAGCAAACAGG